rnacentral:rRNA from 1 species
GGCGGCGUGCUUUACACAUGCAAGUCGAGCGAGGCGUCCCGCAAGGGAUAGUCGAGCGGCGAACGGGUGAGUAACGCGUGGAUAACCUGCCCUGAGGUGGGGGAUAACCAAGGGAAACUUUGGCUAAUACCGCAUGAUACCGAGAGGUCAAAGGGGGCUCGCAAGGGCUCUCGCCAUAGGAGGGGUCCGCGUACGAUUAGCUAGUUGGUAGGGUAAUGGCCUACCAAGGCGACGAUCGUUAGCCGGCCUGAGAGGGUGAUCGGCCACACUGGAACUGAGACACGGUCCAGACUCCUGCGGGAGGCAGCAGUGGGGAAUUUUGCGCAAUGGGGGAAACCCUGACGCAGCAACGCCGCGUGGAGGAUGAAGGUCCUUGGAUUGUAAACUCCUGUCAGCAGGGAAAAAGCAACUUGACCUCCUACGUCAGGGAGUUGAUUGUACCUGCAGAGGAAGCCCCGGCUAACUCUGUGCCAGCAGCCGCGGUAAUACAGA